AUGAACAUAAGAAGGAAGGAGGAAUAUAAUAGAAGUAAUAUCUCUGUUCUCAUGGGGCUCACCAAGAGCACUACAACACAAUCAACAAUCGUGUGCUCGGUGCUUGUUGCAUUCCUGGUGCUUGCUAUGAUAUGUUCUACCUUGCCAUCUUGCCAUGCACGAACUGAACCUAAUAAGGUGCAUGUGGUGUGCAAGCCAAUGGAUCCAUGUGUCAAUGAUAAAGGCUGCAAAGCUAUGUGUGUAGGACCUAAUAAGGUGCACAUGGUGUGCAAGCCGAUGGAUCCAUGUGUCAAUGACAAAGGAUGCGAAGCUAUGUGUGUGGGUAUGGGCAUGCCUUUCUGGAUUCCCCUUUGUAAGGGGAGCAUUUAUCCGAUGUGUUGCUGCGUAGGGCCUCAAACUCAUUAG
rnacentral:rRNA from 1 species